rnacentral:misc_RNA from 1 species
GAUGAAGAACGCAGCGAAAUGCGAUAAGUAAUGUGAAUUGCAGAAUUCAGUGAAUCAUCGAAUCUUUGAACGCACAUUGCGCCCGCCAGUAUUCUGGCGGACAUGCCUGUCUGAGCGUCAUUUCAACCCUCAUGCCCCUAGGGCGUGGUGUUGGGGAUCGGCCAAAGCCCGCGAGGGACGGCCGGCCCCUAAAUCUAGUGGCGGACCCGUCGUGGCCUCCUCUGCGAAGUAGUGAUAUUCCGCAUCGGAGAGCGAUGAGCCCCUGCCGUUAAACCCCCAACUUUCCAAGGUUGACCUCAGAUCAGGUAGGAAUACCCGCUGAACUUAAGCAUAUCAAUAAGCGGAGGA